rnacentral:rRNA from 1 species
GCGGCCUAUCAGCUUGUUGGUGAGGUAAAGGCUCACCAAGGCUACGACGGGUAUCCGGCCUGAGAGGGCGACCGGACACACUGGGACUGAGACACGGCCCAGACUCCUACGGGAGGCAGCAGUGGGAAUAUUGGGCAAUGGACGAAAGUCUGACCCAGCGACGCCGCGUGAGGGAUGAAGGCCUUCGGGUUGUAAACCUCUUUCAGUAGGGAAGAAGCGAAAGUGACGGUACCUAAAGAAGAAGCACCGGCUAACUAUGUGCCAGCAGCCGCGGUAAUACAUAGGGUGCAAGCGUUGUCCGGAAUUAUUGGGCGUAAAGAGCUCGUAGGUGGUUUGUUGCGUCGGGUGUGAAAUUCAGGGGCUCAACCCCUGACCUGCACUCGAUACGGGCAAGCUAGAGUUUGGUAGGGGAGACUGGAAUUCCU